AAGAAAUUAUAAGUUGGCACAAUUGUAUGUAAUGUCAGAAACAUUUAUUAUCGUAAACUAACAAUAAUAUAAUUGUUGCAACUUUUAAGUAAAAGCAAAAGAUGUUUGAUUUUGGUGAUACAUUGGCCCUAAUUCUGGGGCUAGUUAUUAGUACUGUAGGUAUUUUGGCGUGCCUGGGGGCAUAUGCAAGAAAACGCGUAAUGAGAGAGCAAAUAUAAUUAUGUAUAUUUCAUGCUUAAAGACACCAUAUACCUACAAUCUAUUGUCAAGCUUUACAAUUUAUAUAAUAUUUGUAAAUAAAUAAAAUUGAAUGUAGCAACAACA